rnacentral:rRNA from 1 species
AGUAACGCGUAAGAACUUGCCCUUUAGACUGGGAUAACAGAGGGAAACUUCUGAUAAUACUGGAUAAGUUAGUAUAUCGCAUGAUAUGCAAAUGAAAGCUACGGCACUAAAGGAGAGCUUUGCGUCCUAUUAGCUAGUUGGUAAGGUAAGAGCUUACCAAGGCGAUGAUAGGUAGCCGGCCUGAGAGGGUGGACGGCCACAAGGGGACUGAGAUACGGCCCUUACUCCUACGGGAGGCAGCAGGA